rnacentral:rRNA from 1 species
GCAAUUAUCCUCAUAAGUUAGACCGACAGAGGCGCCGCAGGUUAAAUCUUUUUUUAUUUCUAAUCCAGACGUAAUAAUAAUAAUAUUAGGACUGACACUUAGAUAAUUAUUUUUUUGUUACAACCUUUGCCUUUUUUUUAGGCAAAUUGCUAAUGUAACAUAAAUUUUUUUUAUUUUGUGAGCCGUGAUUAGAUUAGAUUAGGAUUUUGCUGGGUGGUGGCACAGAAUAGGAGGCCCCGACUGUUUACUAAAAACACAAGAGAAAGCAAUCACCAAGGUGAUAGUAUUUUUUCUGAAAUUUGCCCGAUGUCAUUAAUAUAAGGUUGAACAUGGGUUGCUGUGGUCAACUGAAAAUCUGAUUAAUAGCGGUCUUAACUAUGAGGAUCCUAAGGUAGCGUAAUCAUUUGGCCAUUAAAUGUGGUCCGGUAUCAAUAAUGUAACGAUGGUCUCACUGUCUCUACAACUUGCUCAGUGAAAUUGAAUUACGCGUGCAGAUGCGCGUUGCCUUCAGAGGGACGGAAGACCCUAUGCAGCU